ACAGUAGCUUUUUUAAAAGAACAAGUAAGAGGAGGGUUAGUCUCAAGGUUUAACACCUUUUUUACGUCGUCAUCGUGUCUCUUUGCUGUUUAACUCUGCUCUUGUAUGUCGAUAUAUAUCUAGCAAUAUUGCAUCGAUCGCUAUCCCGCGUGGGUGCCGCCAUCGUACGACGAUCCAACCAAUCGCGUGUCCUCUUGAAGAUGGCUGCCGCAUCGGCGUUAGAGUUCGACGACGACGACGACGGGGUUUCGUGCGGUGCUCGCGCGAGCACCAAGUCCAAGUCCUAAACUCGCUUCGGAUAUAUUAUAGAUCGAUUUUUCCACUUAAACAUUAAGUAUAUAACAAAUCCACCUUGUCUACUCUAGAGACCUCCUCAGACUUGCCAGUGAGUGGACACUUAAAUAAUUAAAUAAAUAAACCAACUAUUUAAUUACAAUAAAUAAUUAUCGAUUUGACAGUGAUGUGUGCUAUUGGUGUUUAGUUCAUCUGAAAG